AGUAAUCUUUUUUUUUUUUUACUGAUUUAUAGCUUAAUAUCACUGUGAUCUGAGAUCUCUGCCCUUUGAAAUUUGUGGAGACUGGGUGAACCAGUGUAUGGCAAGUUUUGGUAAAUGUUCUUAUGCAUUUGAAAGAGAAUGUGUGUUCUGUUAUUGUUGGGGACUGCCUCCUGUUUUGAGCUUCUCUCCAUAUUUUGUUAUUGUUUUGCCUCUUCCCUCUUUUCAGACUCUAGCAUUGUAUCCUGUAAUGGGACUUCCUGUUGAGUGCUCCCCCACAUCCAACACCAAGGCCACUGAACGCCUCUUUACCAACAUGCCGACUUGGAAGAAGAUCCUCGCUGUCCACUCUUAGAACUGAAGUCACUUUUGCCCCGUCAUGAGGUGUUUCCUGAUACAUAGUGGCAGUUUGAGGGAACUACAGCUGGAGCGAAAGGAGGAGGAACACUUGUUGGGUAACUACAUCUUGUCAUAACAAGCCUAUUGAACGUCAUAGUCUGAGUCAAAGGAGGAGCCAUAAGCUCCACUGCAGAUUGUUUUGCACCUG
rnacentral:lncRNA from 12 species